GAUGAACGCUGGCGGCGUGCCUAAUACAUGCAAGUCGAGCGAACGGACGAGAAGCUUGCUUCUCUGAUGUUAGCGGCGGACGGGUGAGUAACACGUGGAUAACCUACCUAUAAGACUGGGAUAACUUCGGGAAACCGUAGCUAAUACCGGAUAAUAUUUUGAACCGCAUGGUUCAAAAGUGAAAGACGGUCUUGCUGUCACUUAUAGAUGGAUCCGCGCUGCAUUAGCUAGUUGGUAAGGUAACGGCUUACCAAGGCAACGAUGCAUAGCCGACCUGAGAGAGUGAUCGGCCACACUGGAACUGAGACACGGUCCAGACUCCUACGGGAGGCAGCAGUAGGGAAUCUUCCGCAAUGGGCGAAAGCCUGACGGAGCAACGCCGCGUGAGUGAUGAAGGUCUUCGGAUCGUAAAACUCUGUUAUUAGGGAAGAACAUAUGUGUAAGGAACUGUGCACAUCUUGACGGUACCUAAUCAGAAAGCCACGGCUAACUACGUG
rnacentral:rRNA from 1 species